GCUUUGUCGUCAGGUAAAAAAGAAAACAAAUAAAUAAUUACUCUCUUUUGUUACUUAUCAAAUCAUUCAUUGCAUGUACAUUGAUUGUUAAAAGUAAUCUAGUUCUAAUUUUGUUAUAGAAGAGUCGGAGCCGACUCGCUUAAGAUCAUGUGGAUCAAAGAAAAAAUUGAAGAAAAGGGAAGAAGCUUUGUCGUCAGAAGAAUCGGAGCCGACUCGAUCAAGAUCAUUUGGAUCAAAGAAAAGUAUAAAAUUUCCUAUUC